rfam:Rattus norvegicus chromosome 15, whole genome shotgun sequence.
GGGGAUUUAGCUCAGUGGUAGAGCGCUUGCCUAGGAAGCGCAAGGCCCUAGGUUCAGUCCCCA